AUUCAUUUUAAAAAUUAUAAACGUAGACAUACUCAUUACAGACCAUUCUGAAAAUUGAAAACACAUUAAGAAAAGAGUUGCUCAGAACCUGCGACACAGAGCUGCCCACCAUGGCUGUAUCUCCUUCUGGUCUCAUAGGCUCCGUACUGCCUAAAGCCUUCAUGCUCUGCGAUCGACACUUGCAAAAUCCGUGUCAGGACAGCUUCCUGCGCUGGAGAAGAUCAGAGCAGGAACGGCCUGACAUCCACAGAAGGUUCUGCGAUGGCAACUCAGCUUGACUGAAGAGAAAACCCUUCUUCCUACAUGUCCUGAAUUCCGCUGAUGAUCUGAGGACGAGUGGCUUGUCCUAGGGCUGCUUGUGGCUCGUUUUCUCAGCCCAUCCGACCCAGACAUUAAACGGCUAGUUCAUGACCCUUUGCUGUCCACGUGAUGGCAGAGAACUCUGAGAUGCCGUGUGACAUGGCAGCACACAUUUAACUUGUCACAGAACAAAUGUUUUAUUGGGAGCGGCACAUCAGACACAAGGCAGUGAGUCUGCUCCGCACACCGCAGCCUGUCUGCCCUUGAGCGUUUGGAAGAAGCAAAGAGGGUGGAGACCGCAGCUCUGGUGCUGGCUACUGUCCACAGAGAGAAAAAUGUUGAUUUUUUGUGGAUGAAAUGUUUCCCUGCUCAACUGAGGUGUCAUCAGCAUUCUCAACAAUGAAGAGGAAUAGAAUUUGUAAGAGAUAAAAGGCUGCCCUCAUCAGCAUUUUAAUUCAAGGAGAAGCGCACCUAUUGAAAAGGGUUCUGUCCAUCUACACACAGCUUUGUAAGAAGGGUUAGAAGGUCCAGGAUGAGCCAGCAAAGAUGACAGGAAGGAAACGCCUAUAUGGCUCCCCACGUAAUUGAGCGUCUUCUUGGAUUGGGCCAAGAGGACGAAGUCUAAGCAGUUGACCCUGGACAGAUAGCUGACGAAAGACGCAGCUGGAGAUGCUGGGCGUUGAAGGAAAAGACCCUGGCUGGUCGGGUGCUGGUGACCUGUGACAUUGGACUCUGUGGGUCCAAGAGGCCUCAGAAGCAAAUCGCAUGAGUGAUGUAUGUUCCUCGUAGAAAUGUGAAAAGUAAGCACAAGGACAAAAGUUCCCUGUGAUCCUGGUACCCAGAGCAAGGAUUGUUCGUAUUUCAGUGUACGAUGCAGCCAUACUUGUUUCUGCAACUAAAUAUGCCCCCGUGCUCUAACGGGGACUUGAGGAGACACGAAAGCCCCCCUUCAGAUGCAGUCUUCCUGAUUCUUACGAUAGAGGGAGGCCUUCAUGAUGCACAGAGGGCACAGCUGUGUGCUCUGGAGCGGGGCGACGUGCCUUGGGGUGAAGGUGAAAGGCACAACUCAGGGCAUCCUGCACACAAGACGAUGUGUUGCAGCCACAUCCCCAAGAGGAAGGAGAAAGCAAGGGCAGCCAGACGUGCCUGAGCCCCAGUGCCUUGAAAUGAGUGCCAUCCUUCUGGAAACAAGAGUCCGGUGAGGAAACUGAACAAAUCCAAGUUGUCUCCUGGCCUCGGACACGGGAGCUCACAUAAUCUGCGUGGUGGAGAACACUGGUUGAGAGAUGCAGAUAGCACCUUCCCGCUGCCAGAAAAGCAGUUCACAGCAGCCCUGGCUCUGAAUCUGAGAACAAAGUGUUCCAGUUCAGAGGAAGAGCUGUCACAGGUGUCACGCUGGUAAUGGUCAUUCUGACUCACAAAGCUACAAACCAUGUCUGCACCAGCCCAACCAAUGAAGCCAGGAAGCGAACUUACUAUGGGAGACAAUCUAUGCGCAGGACCAUUGGAUCAUUCGCUCUUUUGAAUUAGUCUCACUGGAACUCUCUGUGCUCCAGAGAGACACUCGUUAUUACUUAAAUUUAAAAGGUUGAAAUGGAAGACAGUUUUAGGAAUAAAGAGGGAGUUUUAGGAAGAAAAUGUACGUCUUAGAGCGACAAGUAUUUUUUAUUAAUUGCAUCACAGAGGGCCUGGAAUUAACUGAAUCAGAUCAAACUUUUAGAAAAAUGGAUGUUCAGAAAAAGCUCCAGUAAACUUUCCAAUAGCUCAUUGAUUUUGGCUGAACCUCUGUAACGUACCUGGAAUAUUGAAGAGGGCCUAGAAUCACCUAGAGAUGUGUUUGUGACCCGUGUAGCAACUAUCUCAUCAUUUAAUCUGUCUGAAAUUAAUAUGCACAGCUUUGUGGGAUUUCCUGGCCUUAGGUGUUGUGGCGAAAAGUGCUAUUCUACAUAAUCUGUUUCCCUUUUCCUCCUGAACACCCAGAUGGAGUCCCUUUCCCAGACUCCCUUGCAAUUCGGUGUGAUCACAUGACUGACAGUGGGUGGGACAUGAGUAGGAGAACGUGUGCGUCACUCCCAGGCCUGAAAACUUUACACCCACUCUCCGAUAUGCUCUUUUCCUUCUCCCGGUGAUUGGGGUGGCAACCCCCAGGCGACCCAGGAAGCCUCAUGUUAAAGACGGCACACCACCUUCAGCCUGGGUUCCUGUACGUCUACGCUGGGCAGAGCUGCUUCCCUGGACCUCCGUGGAUGGUGCUAGUUCCCUUGUGCUGAAGCAUUGCGUGCUCGUGUCUGUUCUUUUAUUACAGCCUUGCCCACCUGAAUGAACGCAGACCCUAACAAGGACACCAGGGUGUUGGCAGCCUGUGCAACCCCUGCGUGCCUGCCCCAAGAUGGAAUGCUUGUUCCUAGUGUGACUUACGCAAGGUGCUCAGCAGUGUCGCUGGCCAUCCUCCCCUGGAAAGAGGGCCUCUGCAUCCCUUUGUCACCCAGCGCCCAGGGUCUGCACUCCUAUCUCUGUCACCCACGGCAGCCAGAUCGUCGACCAGCAGUUGCUCUAAAUGCACAGACAUUUUGGAUACGUGCUUAUUCAAACCCCCGGACACAUGAAACUGGGCUGUGCGUUCCCCUGCCACACCUUCCUGAAGCACUGGGCUUUGUUUGAAGAUUUUGGAGGAGAAAGAAUAUUAUUUCAUAUUAAAAUAAACAUGAAUGGGCAGAAUGCAAAAGUGGAUGAAUUUCAAAGACCAAGCCUAAGACUUCAAAGAGAGUUCAAGUUUGCAUUUACGGUUCUGGGUUAAGUACUUAGCCCUCCCCUGGGUGCUCAUCCACUGUGAUUUAUUUAUUUAUUGUUAUUCUCAGGGUUUUAGGUUUUAAUCCAGUAGCCAAAUAUUUUCUUCCAAUACAGGGAAGACACCUAAUUCAAAGGUUGUCAGACGAUUUGUUCUUGGCCUCCCUUCUCUUCCCAUCCCCUCUCCUCCCCCCGAAAAAAAAAAAAGAGAUAAAUUUACCACCCAAGCUUACAGACUAUGACGUAGGCUAUAACGUGAGUCUCCCAGCUGAACCCUGGAAAGGGCCAGGCUCCCAUGCAGCCUGUGACCUCGGGAACCUCCUCCCCCCACUUUUUCAUGAAGGUGGGAGUAGUUCUCAGGCCCAGGCCCCACUGCGUUUCUUUACCCUCAACCCAGACCAGUCCCAAGUUUGUGACUUGGAGCUGCAUGUGAUCUAGCCAUCUAACACAGAAGGGCCAGCUUCUGCCCUGAGCGGUCUUGUGUUUAACUUUCAAAGUGGGCAUCCUUUUGUUUUUCCAAAAGUGCGUGUCCUCUUCUGAUAGCCAGUGUAUCUGCAGUUAGCGUCCACUUGGGAAGAAAACAACCUCUGGAUCUGGUGGCAGAUUAGCAAAGACCUUCUCGUUUUCUGGGAGUGGACCCUCCACCAGCAACUCAUUUCGGGGUCACCAACCACAUUUCUCUUGCUGAAUUCACAGCCCUGCCUGUGGCAUCCUCUUGAAUUGCUGGGCAUGUAUUUACUUGACUCUGGUGAGGAAAGUACUCCCAGGGUCAGAUUCGUUUUGCUUUCAGAAAGGGCCAGGAUGAAGCUGGUGGAGGGGUCCAGGAGGCAGCGCCUGCCUCGAGCUCCCUGAGGACGGGGAGGUCUGAGGGGUGAGCAUGGCCAGUAUCAGAGGAGCUGGGACCCGUCUCCUGUGCCACACCCUGCGGUGUGAGAGUUUCGCUUGGACAGGAGACAAAACCAGGAGGCAGGAGAGGGGGUAUCAGGAUGAGGGGCAGCAGUAGAGGCCACGGUAGGAGGGGCUGGAGUGACAGGAGUAGGAGAUGCAUGGCCCAGGCGGAGGUCAGCCAGACGGUAAAUAUGGGAUCAUAAGACCUCUUCUGAGUUUUCAAUAAGAAAUCUUAGGUAAAGUGCCUAGUAUAUAAUGAAAGCUAAAUAAAUGUUAGUUAUCUGAAUGAAAAAUUAUAGAGGGGCGGGGGUGUAGACCUGCUACCACUUCCAAGCAAAAAUAUACUACUAAUAAUGAAAGAUUGGGAGGAAAGAGGAAGCCUUUUAUAAGAAACAUAAUUUACAGUGUUAUAAGAAUAACGUAUGUGAAAGCACUUCUCUUAAGAGACUUUAGAGCAAUUUUAGGGUCACAGCAAAAUUGAGGAGAAGCUACAGAGACUUCCCAUGUACCGUCUCCUCCCGCACACACCCAGUCACCCCAUCAUCAACAUCCCCCACCAGAGUGGGACGUUUGUUACAACUCACGAACUUACACUGAAUCAUCAUUGUUACCCAAAGCUCACAGUUUACAUUAGGGUUCACUCUUGGUGUUCUGUGGGUGUGGAAAAUGUAUAGCCACAUGUAUCCAUCAUUAUAGUGUUAAACAGAGUACUUUCACUGUCCUAAAAGUCCUCUGCACUCUGCCUAUUCAUCCCUUUCCACUUCAGCCCCUGGCAACCACUGACCGUUUUACUGCCUCCAUAGUUUUGCCUUUUCCAGAAUGUCAUGUAGUCAAAACCAUACAGCAUGUACCCUUUUCAGAUUGCCUUCUUUCACUUAGUCAUAUGCAUUUAAGUUUCCUCAAUGUCUUUUCAUGGCUUGAGAGCUCAUUUCUUUUCACUGUUGAAUAAUAAUCCAUCAUCUGGAUGGACCACAGUUUGUUUAUCCAUUCACCCACUGAAGGACAUCUUGUUUGCC